rnacentral:rRNA from 1 species
UACGAAGGGGGCUAGCGUUGUUCGGAAUUACUGGGCGUAAAGCGUGCGCAGGCGGCCUUCCAAGUCAGGGGUGAAAGCCCAGAGCUCAACUCUGGAAUUGCCUUUGAGACUGUGAGGCUUGAGUACGGGAGAGGUGAGUGGAAUUCCCAGUGUAGAGGUGAAAUUCGUAGAUAUUGGGAAGAACAUCGGUGGCGAAGGCGGCUCACUGGCCCGAAACUGACGCUCAUGCACGACAGCGUGGGGAUCAAACAGG